UACGAAGGGGGCUAGCGUUGUUCGGAUUUACUGGGCGUAAAGCGCACGUAGGCGGAUCUUUAAGUCAGGGGUGAAAUCCCGAGGCUCAACCUCGGAACUGCCUUUGAUACUGGGGAUCUCGAGUCCGGGAGAGGUGAGUGGAGCUGCGAGUGUAGAGGUGAAAUUCGUAGAUAUUCGGCAAGAACACCAGUGGCGAAGGCGGCUCACUGGCCCGGUACUGACGCUGAGGUGCGAAAGCGUGGGGAGCGAACGAGG
rnacentral:rRNA from 1 species